UACAGAGGUCCCAAGCGUUGUUCGGAUUCACUGGGCGUAAAGGGUGCGUAGGGGGCGAGGUAAGUCGGAUGUGAAAGCUCGGAGCUCAACUCCGAAAUGGCAUUGGAAACUACCUUGCUCGAGGGUUGGAGGGGGGACUGGAAUUCUCGGUGUAGCAGUGAAAUGCGUAGAUAUCGAGAGGAACACCAGUGGCGAAGGCGAGUCCCUGGACAACUCCUGACACUGAGGCACGAAAGCUAGGGGAGCAAACAGG
rnacentral:rRNA from 1 species